rnacentral:misc_RNA from 1 species
AAAGUCGUAACAAGGUUUCCGUAGGUGAACCUGCGGAAGGAUCAUUAUCCCACCGGUCUACCGGUUUUAGGGGCCCUCGCUGCGCCUAUACAGCAAAGCGAGCCCUCUUAUACCCUUGUCUAUGAGCACUCAUGUUUCCUUGGUAGGCUUGCCUGCCAGUUGGACACCCCGAACUCUUUAAUUUUACAUCAGCGUCUGAAACAAAUAAUAUUUACAACUUUCAACAACGGAUCUCUUGGUUCUG